UUUCCUCGGGCCCACUGUGUCCAUUCAACUUGUUGAAUUCUGCAGGACUCUCUGUUGGUUUCCUAGGACUGCCGUGAUGAACGACCGCCCAACGGGGGGCUUCGGACGAUGCGAAUCUAUUCUCUGGCAGUUCUGCCAUCCAGAAGUGGAAAAUUAGGUGUCAGUCAGGUUCGUGCCUUCUGCAGGCUCUGAGGGAGAAACCAUCCCUGCGUCUCCUCGCUCCUGGUGGCUGCUGAACAACAACAAAAUGAAGAAUGGCCCUUCCUCCUCUGGAAGUUUGAGAACCGAGGCUUGAGGGUGACGGGCUUCAAUCAUGACAGGAGGGAUCUGUCAGGAAUCCGAACAGCAUCUGCGUGUCGACUGGGCACAUUCAUGGUGUAUGGCAUCAGGUUUUCCUCAGACCCAGGCGACAGUGACAGAAACCAAAUGGCAUUUCUUCACUGCCUUUGAAACCGCCGGAAAUCCAGCCCUCCCCAUCAUCCCAGACCUCCUGACCAGUUGAGGGAGAACACAGGAGAAAGUUGAAGGCUUUAAGAGUAAACAGACUGAGGUCCCGUGAAGAAGAAGGAAUUCUGCCAGCUGACUACCUCUGGACUUGAACUGCAACAUCAACUCUACUCUGGGUCUCCAGACUGCUAGCCUACCCUGCAGGCUCUGGACUUGCCAGCCUCCCACAAUUGGGUGGAUCAAUUCCUUGAAACAAAUCUCUUUGUAUAUAUCUCCAUGCACAUCCCAUUGGUUCUGUGUCUCUGGAGAGCCUGACGAACGCAGUGAGCACUGGGCGGCCUCGGUGUCCUACCGCAGGCACUUGCACAUGCUCUGCCGGCUGCGACGUGACAGCUACCCAACCCCGUUUCUUGUGGCUGCUUUUGUUUCCCCUGCCGUCCCAUAUGUGUGCAGCCUGCGGGCUGGUCCUGCGGGACGGACAGAUCAUUCUCACAUGUGCUGCUGUUCUCUCUCGUGUCUCUCUGUCCCCUGCUCUGACACGCUCCACACCUGGGCCCGCCUCCCUUGUCCCCAACACCAUCAAGCUGUGCUGACUUACCCGGGGCUGUAAGGGACAUUGAUGUCACAGCUCCUGCAGGAUUCCCGUCUUCUCUUCCAGGGCUUUGGGACACAUUUCUAAGGGAAACCAUUGUGUCUAAUUACUUUCACAGGUAUCAUAAAGCUCUUAUUAUUGGAAAAAUGACUACAUUUUUAUGUUCAAAUAAAUUCUCUAAG